rnacentral:other from 1 species
CGCUUACUGCGGUGUGCGUCAGGCUGACACUACGUUUGGGGCGCCGAUGCGUGCAACCGGGGAAGCUCAGCUCGCUCUGCCAUAGACCAUGCCCUCCUUCUUGCAGAGGGACGGGCGCGGCAGGACGGCGGCAACCCACCUUGCCAUAAAGGGUGCACAAACCGUCAGACCAACGGCAUCUGUGGUUCGCUG